AGAGUUUGAUCAUGGCUCAGAUUGAACGCUGGCGGCAGGCCUAACACAUGCAAGUCGAGCGGUAGCACAGAGAGCUUGCUCUCGGGUGACGAGCGGCGGACGGGUGAGUAAUGUCUGGGAAACUGCCUGAUGGAGGGGGAUAACUACUGGAAACGGUAGCUAAUACCGCAUAACGUCGCAAGACCAAAGUGGGGGACCUUCGGGCCUCAUGCCAUCAGAUGUGCCCAGAUGGGAUUAGCUAGUAGGUGGGGUAAUGGCUCACCUAGGCGACGAUCCCUAGCUGGUCUGAGAGGAUGACCAGCCACACUGGAACUGAGACACGGUCCAGACUCCUACGGGAGGCAGCAGUGGGGAAUAUUGCACAAUGGGCGCAAGCCUGAUGCAGCCAUGCCGCGUGUAUGAAGAAGGCCUUCGGGUUGUAAAGUACUUUCAGCGGGGAGGAAGGCGAUAAGGUUAAUAACCUUGUCGAUUGACGUUACCCGCAGAAGAAGCACCGGCUAACUCCGUGCCAGCAGCCGCGGUAAUACGGAGGGUGCAAGCGUUAAUCGGAAUUACUGGGCGUAAAGCGCACGCAGGCGGUCUGUCAAGUCGGAUGUGAAAUCCCCGGGCUCAACCUGGGAACUGCAUUCGAAACUGGCAGGCUAGAGUCUUGUAGAGGGGGGUAGAAUUCCAGGUGUAGCGGUGAAAUGCGUAGAGAUCUGGAGGAAUACCGGUGGCGAAGGCGGCCCCCUGGACAAAGACUGACGCUCAGGUGCGAAAGCGUGGGNNNNNNNNNNNGUCGCAAGACCAAAGUGGGGGACCUUCGGGCCUCAUGCCAUCAGAUGUGCCCAGAUGGGAUUAGCUAGUAGGUGGGGUAACGGCUCACCUAGGCGACGAUCCCUAGCUGGUCUGAGAGGAUGACCAGCCACACUGGAACUGAGACACGGUCCAGACUCCUACGGGAGGCAGCAGUGGGGAAUAUUGCACAAUGGGCGCAAGCCUGAUGCAGCCAUGCCGCGUGUAUGAAGAAGGCCUUCGGGUUGUAAAGUACUUUCAGCGGGGAGGAAGGCGAUAAGGUUAAUAACCUUGUCGAUUGACGUUACCCGCAGAAGAAGCACCGGCUAACUCCGUGCCAGCAGCCGCGGUAAUACGGAGGGUGCAAGCGUUAAUCGGAAUUACUGGGCGUAAAGCGCACGCAGGCGGUCUGUCAAGUCGGAUGUGAAAUCCCCGGGCUCAACCUGGGAACUGCAUUCGAAACUGGCAGGCUAGAGUCUUGUAGAGGGGGGUAGAAUUCCAGGUGUAGCGGUGAAAUGCGUAGAGAUCUGGAGGAAUACCGGUGGCGAAGGCGGCCCCCUGGACAAAGACUGACGCUCAGGUGCGAAAGCGUGGGGAGCAAACAGGAUUAGAUACCCUGGUAGUCCACGCCGUAAACGAUGUCGAUUUGGAGGUUGUGCCCUUGAGGCGUGGCUUCCGGAGCUAACGCGUUAAAUCGACCGCCUGGGGAGUACGGCCGCAAGGUUAAAACUCAAAUGAAUUGACGGGGGCCCGCACAAGCGGUGGAGCAUGUGGUUUAAUUCGAUGCAACGCGAAGAACCUUACCUGGUCUUGACAUCCACAGAACUUNNNNNNNNNNNNNNNNNNNNNNNNNNNNNNNNNNNNNNNNNNNNNNNGUCGUAGUCCGGAUUGGAGUCUGCAACUCGACUCCAUGAAGUCGGAAUCGCUAGUAAUCGUAGAUCAGAAUGCUACGGUGAAUACGUUCCCGGGCCUUGUACACACCGCCCGUCACACCAUGGGAGUGGGUUGCAAAAGAAGUAGGUAGCUUAACCUUCGGGAGGGCGCUUACCACUUUGUGAUUCAUGACUGGGGUGAAGUCGUAACAAGGUAACCGUAGGGGAACCUGCGGUUGGAUCACCU
rnacentral:rRNA from 1 species